CAGUAACAGUAUAUAAGAACAAACAGGAAAUUGCUCUCUUCUCUCUGCUGAAACACUGAACAGGCGAGAUGUAGGACACCAGAGGAGUAAGAAGUCCCUGGACCUUUCUCCAGUAAGGUCUAUCCUAAUGAAGUUUAAACAUAGACGGCCAACUAGCGGCGUCACUCAGACACAGUGUGGGUUGAAAUCUAGGCUCAGCGACGCACGUGAUUGAGGACAGGUUGCAAAACCUCGCUACCCACUUCUGCACUUUACAAAGGGUACAGGCAAGAGUUAGAUAAGCGACACCACUCAGUGGCCCAAAGAGAUGGCUCAGCAGGUAAAGGCGUUUGCUGCCAAGCCCGGGGACCUGAGUUCCAUCUCGGCGAUCCACGAGGUGGAAGGAGAGAAACGACUCCUGCAAAGUUGUCCCCUGGCUUCCAUCAGCGCCGUGGCUGGCACACAUACACCAAAAAUAAACACAACCUAAAAGUAA